GUCUAUGGCCAUACCACCCCGAAUGCACCCAAUCUCGUCCGAUCUCAGAAGCUAAGCAGGCUUGGGCCUAGUUAGUACUUGGAUGGGAAAUAAUCAGAAGGAUUGAAAGAUAAAUG
rnacentral:rRNA from 1 species